AAGUUAAAGCAGAUACUGAGGACACUUGCUCUCCCUGUGGUUGAUCCACCACAGUAUCCAACCCUCUUACUACAAUGCAGAACCCUGAGCAUCACAUAAUGUAUUACAUCAUAAUUGCCUGUAUGACCUCACGGAUUACACAACUGAAAUCUAUUUGAAUAGCUACUUCAGAGACAUGCGUUGUCCAAAUAACACCUGACUCUGAAGAGUACCAAAAUGGCUUCUUCCAAUUCUCCUAGGAAGCCAUAGCAAGAAGCAAUAUAGGGCAACAACAAUAUACAGCUCAGCUACAAUGAUAUGUAUUUAAUGUCAAUUAUGCCAUCGGUAGCAAGAGCUCAAGCCUACAAAGAUCAUAUGUUUGGGGAAAGGUGAAGAGAAUCAAUGAAGCUUGGUCAGGAGACCACCUGGAGAUCAGCAGCAAAAGACUGGGAACUGGCUCAAGAAACACGGAGUCGAUGUGGAAAGCUCUUCCAGGCAUGGGACAAGGAAGUAAAGAACAGGGAAAGAGAACAAGAGGGCUCAAGAGAGUACUAAAUAAAUACAAGGAAGACAUAGUGGCUUAAAUGAAACUGAAUGGGAUUGACUACAAGAGAGGUACACCAGCAAUCAAAGGAGGCCAAAAUUGCAGGAUGGAAACUAAUUAAGGAAAUGGUUUCUUAGACACAGCAUCACAGAAGACAGCACUUGGCAACAAUCCUCUCUCCUAAUCACUCAGCUUUGACUCCUCGAUCUCCAAUAAUUCAAGAACUAUUUAUCUACAAUGUGUCUAAAGUUAAAGAGGUAUUUGGGGGAUUAGGGCCUACUCUAACACAGAAUUUCAUAUCCCACCCAUCUUUGUAAUGGCUGUUUCAAACUGCCAGUUAAUAAACCUGUUUCUGUCCGA